rnacentral:tRNA from 1 species
AUUUAAAUAGCUUAAAAUUAAGAGUAUAAUAUUGAAGAUAUUAGGGUGAUAAAUUUAUCUUUAAAUA